rnacentral:rRNA from 1 species
GUACUGGUGUUACUGGUUCCUACCUUCUGACGAACCAUCAUGUCAUUCAUUUGGUGUGGCGGGGAAUCAGGACUGUUACUUUGAAAAAAUUAGAGUGUUUAAAGCAGGCUCGCGCUUGAAUACAUUAGCAUGGAAUAAUGAAAUAGGACGUUGAUCCUAUUUUGUUGGUUUCUAGGAUUGACGUAAUGAUUAAUAGGGAUAGUUGGGGGCAUUAGUAUUCAAUUGUCAGAGGUGAAAUUCUUGGAUUUAUUGAAGACUAACUACUGCGAAAGCAUUUGCCAAGGAUGUUCUCAUUAAUCAAGAACGAAAGUUAGGGGAUCGAAGACGAUCAGAUACCGUCGUAGUCUUAACCAUAAACUAUGCCGACUAGGGAUCGGAUGAUGUU